rnacentral:rRNA from 1 species
AUUGAACGCUGGCGGCAGGCCUAACACAUGCAAGUCGAGCGGAUGAAGGGAGCUUGCUCCUGGAUUCAGCGGCGGACGGGUGAGUAAUGCCUAGGAAUCUGCCUGGUAGUGGGGGAUAACGUCCGGAAACGGGCGCUAGUACCGCAUACGUCCUGAGGGAGGAAGUGGGGGAUCUUCGGACCUCACGCUAUCAGAUGAGCCUAGGUCGGAUUAGCUAGUUGGUGGGGUAAAGGCCUACCAAGGCGACGAUCCGUAACUGGUCUGAGAGGAUGAUCAGUCACACUGGAACUGAGACACGGUCCAGACUCCUACGGGAGGCAGCAGUGGGGAAUAUUGGACAAUGGGCGAAAGCCUGAUCCAGCCAUGCCGCGUGUGUGAAGAAGGUCUUCGGAUUGUAAAGCACUUUAAGUUGGGAGGAAGGGCAGUAAGUUAAUACCUUGCUGUUUUGACGUUACCAACAGAAUAAGCACCGGCUAACUUCGUG